GAUGAACGCUGGCGGCGUGCCUAAUACAUGCAAGUCGAGCGAACGGACGAGAAGCUUGCUUCUCUGAUGUUAGCGGCGGACGGGUGAGUAACACGUGGAUAACCUACCUAUAAGACUGGGAUAACUUCGGGAAACCGUAGCUAAUACCGGAUAAUAUUUUGAACCGCAUGGUUCAAAAGUGAAAGACGGUCUUGCUGUCACUUAUAGAUGGAUCCGCGCUGCAUUAGCUAGUUGGUAAGGUAACGGCUUACCAAGGCAACGAUGCAUAGCCGACCUGAGAGGGUGAUCGGCCACACUGGAACUGAGACACGGUCCAGACUCCGACGGGAGGCAGCAGUAGGGAAUCUUACGCAAAGGGCGAAAGCCUGACGGAGCAAAGCCGCGAGAGGAAUGAAGGUCUGCGGAUCGUAAGACUCUGUUAUUAAGGAAGAACAUAUGUGUAAGUAAAUGUGCACAUCUUGACGGUACCUAAUAAGAAAGCCACGGCUAACUACGUG
rnacentral:rRNA from 1 species